rnacentral:rRNA from 1 species
GAGACAGCAGUCGCCGCGGGAAUACGAAGGGGGCUAGCGUUGUUCGGAAUCACUGGGCGUAAAGCGCACGUAGGCGGAUUGUUAAGUCAGGGGUGAAAUGCCAAGGCUCAACCUUGGAACUGCCUUUGAUACUGGCAAUCUCGAGUCCGGGAGAGUUGAGUGGAACUGCGAGUGUAGAGGUGAAAUUCGUAGAUAUUCGCAAGAACACCAGUGGCGAAGGCGGCUCACUGGCCCGGUACUGACGCUGAGGUGCGAAAGCGUGGGGAGCAAACAGGAUUAGAUACCCCAGUAGUCCCUGUCUCUUAUAC